CUUGGCUGGCCUUGGUGCCAACUGUGGGUGGGACUCAGCUUUGCUCCACACAACACAUCCUCCUCCAGGCACGGGCUUCCUGAGGCAAUGGCUGAGCAGAACAGGUGAUGUCUCUUCAGGUCUCAUCUCGGAACUGUCGUUCAGCUGGAGUACGUAGGGAACACACGCACUCAAGGGGCCAGGCCGGCGGCACAAUGACCAUGAACGUCGUCAGAUCCCAGCCCAUUGUCUGUGUGUGACCUUGACCUUGGACACGCUGCAUAACCUCCUUGGGCCCUGAUCUCCUGAGCCGAACAAUGACCUGCCAGGAACGGAGCCAAACUUCGACCCACGAUGAGAACAGACAUCACCAAAGGAGAUCCGACAAACUUCUCGUCCACGUCCCGCUCUUUGUGGAGCCCACCCGGCCCCGUAAGGCACAUGCCUGCUCAGGUGGAGGAAAGACGGGCCCUCCGCUCUCCCCAGGUUCCUCCAAGGGACAGGCGGAAGAGGAACCAGCAGGAGAGAAGAGACCGGGGCUCUGGCGCACACCAGCCUCUCGCAGCCGAUAUGGAGAGGCGACCUCCAUCGGCUUUGCCUUAUCUCAGGGGCUGCAGUCACCCUUACUCUCCCCCGCAGCUAGGGCUCACGAGCCAUUUCCGUCUCUGGAUCAGAUAUGGGACCAUGAUUUAUUGA